CGCGUAGGCGGCUUGACAAGUCACUUGUGAAAUCUCCGGGCUUAACUCGGAAUGGCCAAGUGAAACUGUCAUGCUAGAGUGCAGAAGGGGCAAUCGGAAUUCUUGGUGUAGCGGUGAAAUGCGUAGAUAUCAAGAGGAACACCUGAGGUGAAGACGGGUUGCUGGGCUGACACUGACGCUGAGGCGCGAAAGGCCAGGGGAGCAAACG
rnacentral:rRNA from 1 species